rnacentral:lncRNA from 1 species
CAGCGCAAUAUCACACUUUCAGUUUUAGAACACUAGAAGACUGGGGAAUGCACAGCUAUUCGAGUCGAGGACUUAAAACAGUAAGCUUUUACUGCUCCUAAUGUAUGUACCCUUGAGGACACAGGUUAACUGCAUUUCAUCCCCACAUGCAAGAAAUCAGAAAUGAGCGAAAAACAAAUUCACAUUACAUUUCACAGACAUUAAAUCCAGAAAGAACAUUACAAUAUAUAUUCUUCAUCCCAACAAGCAUUUUAGGACCACGUUCAAGAUGGAGUUAAUUGUUCUAUUGGUCACUGAACUUAGGUCCAUGUCUUUGAUUGAUCACUGAAAUUUAAAAUGUCGAAUUUUAGUCACUAAACUUAAAUUCAUGUCUUUGAUUGCUCACUAAAGUUUAAAAUGUCGAGUUUUGGCUACUGAACUUUAAAAAAUGUCAAGUUUUGGUCACAACUUAGAUCCAUGUCUUCGAUUGCUCACUGAAAUUUAAAAUAUCGAGUUUUGACCACCGAACUUUGAAAAAUGUUGUAAAUUACCCACUGAACUUUGAAAAAUAUUUUACAUGACUAUCGAACUUGAAAAAAUGCUGUACAUUACUCACUGUAAACUCGAUAUUUUUCAAAAUUCAACAGAUAUGCUAAUGAGUAACGUAUGGCAUAUUUCAAAGUUCAGUGGCCAAAACUCGACAUUUUUCAAAGUUCAGUGGACAAGACUCGACAUUUUAAACUUCAGUGAGCAAUCGAAAACAUGGACCUAAGUUCAAUGACCAAAACUCGACAUUUUUCAAAGUUCAGUGGCCAAAACUCGACAGUUUAAACUUCAUUGACCAAUCAAAGAUAUGAACAUAAGUUCAGUGAGCAAUCGAAAACAUUUACUUAAAUUCAGUGGCCAAAACUCGACAUUUUAAACUUCAGUGACCAAUCAAAGACAUGGACCUAAGUUCAGUGACCAUUGGAACAAUUAACUCUAAGACGACUUGAGAGGCAAGUUUCUGUAUUUUGGUAGUAGUUCAUUGGGUUGAAGUUGGAUUCUUGGAUUCAAAGUGUCAUGUUGGAUUUUAAGAUAGGGGAGGAUUAGGGUUUUGGGAAUUUUGAGGGUGGUUCCUUUCUGAUAUGAGGGAUUGCGGAAGUGGCCCUACGAUGAUUUCAGCGUUUUGAAAUCCAUCACAUUGAACUGAAAAAGGUAAGGGGCAAAUAAUCAAAAGUUCCAAUUGAGCUUUAGAAGCAUUCUGGAUAACCAAAAAGAGCAUAAUGUCUUGGCUGGUCAAAAAAACCUAGAAAGGGAAAGACUAGAGAGUGCACGGCUCAACUGCUCGAAGCUUGCAUCCCAAGCCCCAGCAAGAACACAAAAGAUGCAGCAAAUCAAAAAAUGUAAAUGAAUUGUUUUUCUUCUUUGGAAAUGAAUUCAGCGUCACCUGGGAAGAAGGGUUGCCCAUUCAGAAAAGGGGAGUUUCGUGCUUCGACAGAAGGCUCCAGAAAACUAAAAGUAUUGCUUCAUAAACAAGACAGCAUCUGUGUAUUUCUUUCUUUUAAUAGUACGUUCUUAUUGAUAUUCCACCCAGCUAACAUCUUCUUGACGUGAGUGAUGGAGGAGUGAAUCACUAUGGCCCU